rnacentral:rRNA from 1 species
UAUCUCUGUAGAGUCUGCAUAUCAAUAAGCGGAGGAAAAGAAACUAACAAGGAUUCCCUUAGUAACGGCGAGUGAAGCGGGAAGAGCUCAAAUUUGAAAUCUUCAAGGUUCUACCUUGACGAAUUGUAGUUUAAAGAAGUGUUUUCUGUUAGAUGAGUAGCAAAAGUUCCUUGGAAUGGGACAUCAUAGAGGGUGAGAAUCCCGUAUUUGGUUAUUCAUUCUAGCUUUGUGAUACACUUUCAAAGAGUCGGAUUGUUUGGGAAUGCAGUCCAAAAUGGGUGGUAAAUUUCAUCUAAAGCUAAAUAUUGGCGAGAGACCGAUAGCGAACAAGUACCGUGAGGGAAAGAUGAAAAGAACUUUGAAAAGAGAGUUAAACAGUACGUGAAAUUGUCAAAAGGGAAGCGUUUGACACCAGUGUUGUUUUUCCGAAAAUCAAUUACGAAUGGCUUGAUUCUGUGUUGUAUUGACCUUAUCAGCUUUCUUCACUUUUUUCGAGUCUUUCUUAAUGCACUUUUCGGUUAACAAGUCAACAUCAAUUUCUUUUGUUGUAAAAGAGUAUUCGGAAGGUGGCUUUCUUUUCGGAGAAAGUGUUUAUAGCCCUAUACUUCUACAAUCGGAGAGAUUGAGGUCUGCAGCGUAGAUCCUUCGGGGUUAGAUACACUUGUGCUAAGUUGUAGCUUUUCAUAGACAACUUGUUGACUAUGUUUAGUCAUGCGGCUUACUCGCUUAUGCUAUUUUACCUACGCUUAGGAUGUUGAACUACUGAGACAUAGA